rnacentral:lncRNA from 1 species
UUUUUUUUUUUUUUUGGUGUUUUUUAAUGCCUGUGCCAUUCUUUGUAAAUUUCAUUUUAGUUUAUAGUUUUAUUUUUUUAUCAUUCUAAGAUUUAAAUAUGCUCUCUAAGUACAUUUCUAUAUCAUGAUACCCUGUUUCAUUUCUAAAACUGAGUGCCCAGUGGGCUAAUUCACUUUUGUUGCUGAUAGUGUUGCACCCUAGCAUAGGGCAAGAGGUUGGAUGAGAGCAGUGCUUUUUUAACUCUGCAUCAGAUUGUAUACCAGAUUCCCCUGCAGAGCUCCAUAAAACAACAGAUUGCUUGGGCCCCAUCCCCAGAUUCUCUGAUUUGGUAUGUCUGGAGAUGCCUGACGAUAUGUAUUUCUAACAAAUUCCCAGGUGAUGUCUAUGCUCUUGGUACUUGGACCACAUUUUGACAACCCCUGAUCUUUCUAGAGAAAGAUUAGGAACAGAGGGCUGCAGAGAGUUUCAACAUUGACCAACUUAGCUGAAUCUGUAGAUCACUGACAUAAAUGAGACAAUGAGUAAAAUAUGGUUUAGAGGAUGGAGAUUAAAAAAAACCCAAUAUGUGUCAUAAUACAUUUUGAAGUUUUUGACUGCAACAUAAAUUUGAAAGUGCCUAAUAUGCAUAUAUGGUAUGUUCUAGCAAAAACUUAAAAAAAAAUAAUGAAAAAAAAUCACUGGCCUAAAAAAGAAAUUCUGGUGAUUGAUUAAGUCAGUAAAAAGUGAAUAGGCCAGUGGAAAGAAAUAUCAGCCUAUCUCUGUAAUUAGAGCUAGGUAUGAACAGCUUAUCACCAUUCUGUUGAUACUUGGCAAGAUGACAGUGGUAAAGUGAGCCAGCUUCUUUUGAAUGCAUGUGAUACAAUAUAAACUAGAUAAACAAGGUUUCAAAAUUUACUGGAGUGGCUGUAAAAUAUAUAGCCCCUUUAUACAUACCUUUAGGACCCAACCAGAAUUGAAACAUUGUCGAAGUAAAUCCAGGAAAGUAGCAAAUGAAGUACAAGGUAUAAAUCACUGAUUCUGUGAAACUUGGGAGAAUUCAGAAAGGGCUGAAUAUAAAUAAGGUAGAGAAUGGUAAAUUAUGGCAGUUAACUCUGCUGUUUAGCUAAUGAACAUCAUUGACAGAGUUACCUUCUACAAGUGUAUAUCUCUCUACCUCUCUCCCUUUUUCCCUCCCUCCUUCUCAUUUUCCCUCCCCCCCCCCCAUUUCCUUCUCUUCCUCCCUCCUCCUUUAUGUUCAACAAAUAUUUUGGUACAUCUGCUCUAUGCCAGGCACAGACUGCGCUUGGUAGGCUUUGAGAUGCCGCAAUGAGUGAGAUGUUAUGUUUACUCUCAUGGAUCUUUACAGUCUAUCAAGGUAGAUAUUUGGCAAAUGAUUUAAAUUAGGAAACAUCCUGUGAAGGAAGAGUGUGUACUAUAAAAACAUGUGACAGAGGGACAUGUCCUAUCAAGGAAUCAGGCAAGGCCUCUCUUGGUGAAUGUUUGUACUUCCAUGCUUUGAAAGAAAGACUUUGUCUUGUCCAUUCCUUAUCCUUGACCCUACAGCACUACCUGGAAUAUUGUGUCCACUUAAUAAAUAUGUGUUGACUAAAUAAUUCUGAGCUCUGAGUGUGAAUAGAGCUAGUUAAGUGGAGGAUUAAUGGUAAUGGGGAUCAUUCCAGGAAAGUAGCACAUGAUGUGCCCAAAUGUAAAGUUGGUUGUCCAAUAUGGUAGCUACAUUUGACUAUUUAGCAUUCGGAAUAUGGCUAGUCCAAGUUGAGAUGCACUAUGAGUAUAAAAUAUGCAACAGGUUUUAAGGACUUAGUAUGAAUAAAAAGAAUGUAAAAUAGCUAUUAGCAAAUUUUAAAAUACUGAUUACACAUUGAAAUUAUUGUAGUGUAGAUUUGUUGGGUUAAACCAAAUAUAUUAUUAAAAUAAUUUUACCUAGUUCUUUUUAAAUUUUUAAAUGUAACAUUACAUGUGUGACUUGCAUUUGUGGCUCCAUUAUAUUCUUUUGCACAGCACUGAUAUAUAGUAUGCCAUCCAGAUGGUUUUAUUUGAUGGAAGUAUUAUGUGAGGGGAAUCUGACAUGUAUUACACACUCUUGCUCUCUGAUCUGAAAUUGGAGACCAUUCCAUCUUACUUGUUCCUGCACUGUGGCAAGUCCCUGUACAGAGAGAAACGUGUCUUUCUGAAAAGCUGUUGCAUUGUAAAAGCUUACUGUGUUGACCUGUUAUUUGAUUGUCGUAUUGUGCAUCUCAAUACAAAAAUUUUAGUCUCUAAGAAUGCUGCUGAGUGAAUAGAUUUAGUGAACAGCUUCUGAGAAGUGUGGUGAUGGAUGUAAAUGCCAGCCAUAUUUCUUUCAUGAGUCCCAUUCCUAGUUUGUUUGCUUGAGAGGUUAUGUUGAUUGGACAGUUUGGGGUUUAUUUGGCCAAGUGGUGAUAUACUGAGGCAAAUUGGUUCUGUCUUCUGAGUAAGAAUAAACUAUGAGAAAUGGAAGUAGAGUGGGGACCAUUCUCAAUGGAUACAACUUCAGCUUGUAGGUGUUUUAAAUCCCUGAAUAGGAAACAGUGCCAAUGAUUAGAAUCUUUAUAUUCUGAAUACAUUCAGAAGGAAUGUAGCAUCGGGAAGGAGAAGGAAUGUAUUGUAAAAGUUAAUUCCGAGGUCCAGCUCUGUGUGCCCAUAGAGCAAUAGAAGCAUGAGAACUGGCUGUAUAUUUGCAAUUGCUUUUAGUUGAGAGGGUCCUUUGGUUUCCAACAAAUAACUAAACUCAAGAAGAAUGAUAGCAUGCAAAGCUAUAUAAAUAAAACAAUGAAACAACAUUAUUUUAUAGGGAAAUCUACAAACCCAAACAUUAGCAGUAGUAAUGAAGAGUUAAAACAAUUAAAAUGCAUCCUAAUACAUAAUACUAUAUAUAUGCUAUGCUGUUAGAUGAUAUUUUUACUGUCUCAUUCUGUCCUUCAUUCACUUGGAAUUAAGAGGAGCCAAGAAGUAGUAUUUUGUUUAAUUGUUCAUGAUGAGGAAUGGACCCAAAAUAAGGCUCUCUCACUGCAUUCAGAUUAGCCAAUUUGGGCAAAUUCAUGAUAUCCAGUUUGUAUACUCCACGGGUGCCAAAAAAUGGCCAAGUGUCUGGACCUACCUCAUCUUAAUAAAAAGUGGAGAACAUCUCAAUGACCCUAUGAAUUUUACCUGUGAGAUUUUCAGUUUGAUUAACUGUUCAGUUUGAUUAAUUGACUUUAGACCAUGGUUCGUGAGGCAACAGACUUUUUUGUCCAUUGUAUACAUUUUUGAAAUUUCGUUUGUUAGUUACACUUUACACAUAAUGUUAUCUUGAUGUGCAAAGCUAUGACAUUGGAAUUUUAUCUUAAUCUUCUUGAAGACCUAAAGGAUAAACAAUAUUUGAUAAAUAUUUGCAUACUUACUAUGUGCUAAGGUAAAUCUCAGUUUAGCAUCACAAGAGAUAAAGCAUUGUCUACAUUUGAAAUACAGAAAAUUUCUCAGUCAAGAUGGCUCAGGAAAGCUAAACAAGGUGGAAAAAUGUAUUCAGGGCCAAGGUCAGGCCUUUUCGGGGGGCCUAGUGUGAUGGAGUUCUCCUGGCAUCUACUCAAGUAGGAGUUCACAAGGUUAAUUUGCUCUAUGCUUCUGAAACACAAAAGAGGAAAUUUUAGAAGGCUAUGAAAUAUACUCUUUGAGGUUAGGGAAAACUUUGCAGAAACUAAGAAAGCUAUAGAAUAGAAGUGCCAAAGGUGAUAAAGAAAGGUAUUGAGGAGGAGGAGCUGCUGAGCCCAAAGCUUGGGAAGGGAAAUAUUAGCCUUGGUAUAGUUCAACAAGUAUGAUGGAAUCUAGCUGUAGGCCAACUACUGUUGUAAAAUGGCUCAAAUAAAUAAUUUAUUCCUCAUUAACAAUAGUAGGCAGGUGAAUAGCAGUGGAUGAUUUUCUUUUGCACUGUUUUAGGGGAGGAAAGGACCCAGGCUGAUAGAAACUCUGCCAUCUUCAACACCUAUCUUCCAAGAUCACUUCCAUUUUGGUCAACUAUGUAGGGAAAGGAGCAUCUAAGAGAUUGUUACAGAUUUUGCCUGGAAAUGGUCCAUGUCACUUCUACUCCCCUUCUAUUGGUAGAUCUGAAUUAUGCAGCCAUGUCUAAUGCAAAGGAGACUGUGAAAGAUAAUCUAGAUGUGCACUGAGGCAGAAGAGGAGAACCCGGAGCAAGGCCAACAACUAGUGAUCUCUGCUAGAUUGGUUCAACUAAAUACUGAUUCUGUAUACCUUCAACACAAUCUGAUUUUUACCUUUAGAUCGCUCUAGAGUAGAGUUAACACAACACCUCAUGCCAAGUCAACACUUGUGACACUUUGGUGUUUACAUGUGUUCAGCUGGAUGCUUAACUCUGACCUCACGUGUCAUAGCUCUCUGGGAAGAAGUUCAAUCCAGUAUAAUAUUACAUAAUCUUGUUCAUAUCCUUAUCAUGCAGACAACUUGAUAAAUGCAAAAAACAUGCUUUUUGCAGUUAGAUAGACAUGGGUUUGGGUCCUUGUUCUUGACUUCUUAUUGUGUAUGCUUGGGUAAGUGUCUAACCUCUUUGAGGCUUAGAUUUGAUAUCUUAAUGAGAAAAGCAGAACAUAGCUAGUUGGUGCUCUUUAACUAAAACUUUAUCAUUUAUUCCUUUCCUCAAGCUACAAGCACUAUUUAGUAUUAAAUUACAUUGUGCAUACAGAGCUAUAACUGUUUACAUUUACUGAGGAAUAUAGUUGGUGCUCUUUAAAUGCUUGUUGAAUGCCUGACCUCAAAUCAAUAUUCUAGAAUUAACAACAAUCUAAAUUUAAUGCAAGCUAAAAGUUUGAAGAUUCUGCUAUGACCAUGAUGUCUACUUUUUCUUCCUUAGAUGGGAUUAUAUACAAGGGACAGGAACUUGGAUAGUCACAUUUAAAGCUUGCCUGCCAAAUCAUUUUAAAAUAAAGUUGGCAAAUUAUUUUAUCUCUUGCUUUUCCUUUCUCUGAGAUUUUUAGUACAAGUUGCUUGAUUGACAUAUAGGGAAAAGAAAAGACAUGUUCUACACUUCAGUGAGGAUUAACCAGAGAACAGUUUACACUCCUAAAGAUCAGCUGGCAUGGUGACCAUGAACUUCCGAGCUUCCAAGGAUCACAGUAAAAGUGUGCAGAACCAGGGAGAGAAAGGGUGACAAGAGAGAAAGGGCAGUUUCAGGAACAUCUGCUUCUUCAGAUCUUUCCCACCUAAGAGUUGCCUCAUUCAAAGUCUUCAAACAAAGCUCAGGAAGAAAGCCAUUUGUGUCAGAACCAUGUUUAGUGCUGAAUGCGUAGAGAAAGGGCUCUCCUCCCUGCUGUGCUCCACAUGGAGAUGAAAUGGAAGCUCUCUAUUAUGCAUCUGUGUCAAAGUCAUUCCUUCAUCCAGCUAUCCUACUUCCAGAAUAGAGGAGAUUCUAUCUGGGUCAGCCGAUUAACCAGCCCUUGUCUUAAAUUUCUCUACCUUCUCUCAUGCAGUCUGCAAGUAUUUACUGGCCUUGGGAAAUAUAAGUCUUUAUCUCUCAUGGAAGUUACAUUACAAAAAAAAAAAAAA